GGCGGGGUCAGCUAAUAAAGCUUUCGGGCCCAUACCCCGAACAUGGUAGUUAAAAUCUACCCCCUCCCA
rnacentral:tRNA from 1 species